AUAAAGAUUAGAAGGUGAAAAAGCUUUCCAAGAGACUCGGCAUCCACCUCUCCUCGCCAUCACGCUCGUCAUCCGAGCGGCCUCGCUAGCCAAAAUUGGCGAGGGCGGUGCCCUCGCCAUCCCUCUCGUCCCGCCCGCUCCCGGCAUCUCUCGCACUAUCCCGGGCUCUCCCGCGCCCUCCCCCUCCUUUUUGGUGCGCUUGCCCCCGUCGUCGUGCCCUGAGCUCCCGCGGCUGGUCGUAGUCGUAGCGUGAGCACUGGCGGUGGUAGUUCUUCUCGGUCGGCCGUUGGCACUUGGGGUAGUGCUUGGUUCUUCUCCACUUGAAGUGCCGGAGCAGGACGGCGGCGAGGCUAAAUGGGAUCGAGAGGAGGUACUGCUCGCCCCGCAGCCGUGCCUCGCCGGCGCCCGCCCCGGCCCCUCGCCGACUGAGGAAGAAAAAAAGCUUCGGAAAAAUAAUUUGCGUCUGGUAUGUGUGUCUGAUCUUCAGCGCUCCGAUCUGAGCAACGCUGCCCAUCUUGUUGUUUGUUUUUGCUCGAUCCAAUGCAGUACGAAAGAGUCCCAGCCUCCCAGGUGAAUGGAACUUUGUGGAAAAGGGCAGGUUGUUAAGAUCUGAUGCAAAAUUGUUGCAGCAAAACCGGGAGAGAGGGGCCGGCUGGAGGAGGAGACUUGCGGGUCUCCUGUCCCGGCCAGCGCGCGCAGCCGUCCGCCGGCCGGGAGAGGAGGUGCGGCUGGCCGUCGGGACUGAGAACGGGGGAGGGGGAGGGGGAGGGGGAGGAGGAGAGUGAGUGGAUAAGGUGGGAGGAAAGAGAUGAUGAGUGGGUCCCACUUGUCAGUGCAAGUGGAAGAGUGAAUUUAUGAUGGAUAGCUAAGAGAUUUGAAGAGUCGGUUGGUUUACCAUUCGAUUAUGGAGCUGUUUAAUUUUUUACAAACCUUCAAAAACUCUAAAUUUAGCUAGGAUUAUACCUAGUCUCCUGGAGUUUAAGACCUCAAAUAUGUAAAUUCCUAACUUGGGUUUAAAACAACCGGGAUAUAUCCCAUCUCAUCUUGUUUUCUACUUUUGUUUUUGCUCAUCCCAUAUUUAACAUGGAUAUCCUGUAUUUAUAGUAUAGGAGUAUAAAUGGAAAAUGAGGAUGCAUCUGCGGGAAAAAAAUCCAAAUAAUUAUUCAUACAAAAAACCAGUUAUAUUGUAUACUACCACCUGGUAGUAUUAUGCACCGUAAAAGGCCUCUAUUGGAAUCCGUGAGCUAAUAGUAGUCAUCAAUCCUUAAAGCAGCUAUAGUAGCGUAGCAAACUUUUAGCCAAUCACCUAGCUAACUAACCAUCAUCUCAUUACCUGAGAAGCUGGAAAUUCUUGAAGGCAUCCAAGUUUUGCACUGCUAAAUUACCAAAAUACUAAUAGUGCCCCUUAUUGUGCAGUAUUUAUCACUGAAUCGACCCCAAGGUAUCCAACUUAUUUUGGCUGGGUUGGUCGCAUAGUUUAAAUCCAGAUUUUGGAGGAUUUCCACAUUUGAAUUCGUGAUGCUGCUGCAUUUAUUUUAUAAUGGAGCAAAGAUAUGGAACCAUACAACAAAGGUAGCUCAACAUUAAUUUAGAUGUGGUCACAGAUAUUCAAGAUGUGUCUUAAUUUGCCUCUAUAUAGACAAGAGCAAGCAAAGCAAUAUGUACGUGCAUACCGACCGGAACCGAAUAGCUAGAGGCACACCAAUAGUGUUCUUCAUAUGGCUGUGGUCAAAAGGAACAUAGUGAGGUCUAUGUGUGCUGCGCUUUGCGUUCUUUUGAUGAUGUCUUCAUCAAACCCUCUCAGCCCUGGUGGAAGAUCACACGUCGUGUGACCCUAUGGGCCCAUGCACUUAUAAAAAAUGCGACACUGAAUGUUCAGAGAAGAGCAAAAAGGUUAACAACCUGCCUUUUCGUCCUAAGUGCGACACACCUAAGGAGUGUUGCUGCGUAUUUAUUUUAUCGGGAGCAACAACCGCCCCCGCUCGUCACUGGUGAUGUUGGAACAAUUGCCAUUGCGGAAAUGGAUCUCUUGAUUGAAUAGUGUUGAAAAGGAUUGAUCCAUGCCGAUGGCUAGAUUCAUUUCGUGGAUGCAGCCAAUACCAUAAUGCUCUUCCAUGUAAUGAAUCCGUAGUAUGUUGCUGCCCAAAUCUAAUAAUAAAAUAAUUGUGCCCCAUUGUCCUUU